AUAAUUUGUUUCAGCGUUUCCGCUAUAUUACAUUCUGAUACGAUACGGAGUGUAUGAAAACAGACGAAGUCCCGAGCCAUUGACGGCACGUAAACGGGGGAGAUACGUCUCUUAGAGUGCACGUGUGGGUGAAUGGAAUGUAAGAGGCGUGCACUUGUGAGAACCAGCACAACCUCGAAAUUCGUUAAUGAUCCUUCCGCAGGUUCACCUACGGAAA
rnacentral:misc_RNA from 1 species